CAAUAGCGUAUAUUUAAGUUGUUGCAGUUAAAAAGCUCGUAGUCGGAUUUUGGCUGAGAACGAUCGGUCCGCCGUUAGGUGUGCACUGAUUGGUCUCAGCUUCCUGGUGAGGAGGUGUGCUUCACGGCCACUUAGUCACCGUGGUUACUUUGAAAAAAUUAGAGUGUUCAAAGCGGGCUUACGCUUGAAUAUAUUAGCAUGGAAUAACACCAUAGGACUCCUGUCCUAUUUCGUUGGUCUCGGGACGGGAGUAAUGAUUAAGAGGAACAGUUGGGGGCAUUCGUAUUUCAUUGUCAGAGGUGAAAUUCUUAGAUUACCGAAAGACAAACUGCUGCGAAAGCGUCUGCCAAGGAUGUUUUCAUUGA
rnacentral:rRNA from 1 species